AUGUGAGGUUCCUCUUGGAAGACAGGGAAGUAUUGAAGCUGCAUCUAAAUGGUUGCAAAGUUAAUAUUACCUUUAAGGAAGUGUGGUUUUGCCAAAAUAAUUUUUUGUUGUUAACUCUUCCUCUGAGAUCUACAUCUUGCUCACAUUACUGUUCCCCACUUAAAAUGUUGAUACAAAUGUUUUAAGUAUUUCUUCUUUUUAGGGAGCAGUGGGAAGGGAAGGUUCUGUUGUGGUUAAACAGUUCACCUAUCUUGGUUUAUCACUGUACUGUCGCCAAACCAGGCAGUCCUGGCCUAUGCAGUACCUUCCUGUCAGUGCUGAGGAUUGAACUGCUCUUCAGUGAUUGAGAUCAUCUGCCUGCUGUUGCAGAAAACUCAUCUUUCUUUCUCUAUUUUUUCUUCCAGGAUUAUUUUGCAGCUAAUAUAGUGAUUGUCCAAGUAACUUGCAUCAUGAAAUCCAAAAAUUCCUGGAGUGGUAGAGAAAGUAGGAAUUCCUCAGCUGGAAGACAGAGAACAUGACUACCCUUCUGUCACAGUGCUUUUGCCAUGUUCGAUUUAAACCAUCCUGAAAGUGUACCAGUAGUCUGACUCUGUGGUGGCCAGGUGUUGGACUUCAUGAUCUUGAUGGGUCCCUUCCAACUCAGCAUGAUUCAAGAAUCUUGGGGUAAUUCUGCAUGGAAUACAGAAAAAAACCCAACUAAUUUAGUAGCUGGUUGUUUUUUGUCCUUGAGCUCUGUCUUCCAUUCUCUUAGAACAAUCAGAUCACUGGUAAGAACUUUUUUGUAUUUUUUCAGAUUGGAGGAUCUUCUGAAUCUUAUGGUUUAAAGAUGCCUUUAAAAUAAAAGAGCCUAGUUUUUACAGGCAGUUUUGUCAUCUCAGAUCAGUGAGAUUGGUUACCUUGGAAGAAGAAAAGACAGAUUAUGGGCCCAUAUUAGGAGUUGGAAGACUUCAGGAUAACAUAGAGAUAUAUCAUUCAGAGGGAGCUGGAAAUUCUUAGUCAUUUGUUUUAAUAGUUUAUUAUUAAAUAUCUGCAAGAAUCUGUCCCACACUGAGCAAUCUAGUUUCCCUGUAGAUCUUUACCAAGAAUGAGGCAAAAAUUCCUUUCCUGUUAAGAGGGACCAAAAGAGGUAAAUAGCUGAAACUAUGAAAUUAGAUCUAUGCCAUGGAUAGCAGUAAUGAGUUAUAAUGUUCAACCUGCUGAGGUUAAGUAAUCAAAAUUUCUUGCUGACACUGAGGAAGGAGUACUUCAAUGAAAACUUGAGGGAAAGGAUAGAAUCCUUAUAUGAAAUCUGGCCUAACACAUUAAUAGUAUUCCUGUUUCUCCUAAUUUUGCAGUUCUUGUUGUUCAGGUUUCUCUUGUGCAUUGGGAUGAGGCUGUCAUGCUGGAAAGUUUAAAAUCUAGAAAGUGAAAAUAACAGUGCAUGUUGCUGUAUGUCCCAUAGCAAUAUAAACUGCUGGAUGACUGUGUACUGAAGAAGAGAAAUACAAGUAGGGGUGGUAAUACUCUUUCUUCUUUUUUCUGUUCUUGAUUGCAGGUUAACCUACUGGUUGGAACUUUGAGGGUAAUUCAUUAUGAUAACUUUUUAGUGGGGUAGAUGAGUUUUAAUAUAUUUUUAGUUCAUUUUUAAAGCAAAAUGACCUUGAAUUACCCACUUCCUAUCUCCUUUGGUGACCGUGGAGAUUACCAGUUACUGCUGAACUUUUCUGAAAUAAAGACUUAAUUUGCCUGAAUAGCAUCUUGGGUAUGGUACUCCACCCAGUGAAGAGCCAAAAUGCUGUUCCAUAAAUAAACAUAUGGUUUCUUUAGGCUGAGCUGUGUUGCUCAGCCAGAGGAAUAUGAAACUAUGGUGAUGAAGAAGGGGGUAUCUAACUGCUGCCAUCAUUCUUAGGCAGAGCACACUAAGUUUAUGACUUUUUCGAACUUUGCCUCACAUCUCAGUCUGAACAACCUUCAAUCAGGAUCUGAACUUUAUUUUGGCUCACACCAUUAUCCUUUUUCAGUAAUAUGUCCUCCUCAGAACUCCUUUAGUCAGAUAAAAAUAAUUACCACACAGACUUUCAGUUGUUUGUUUUUCUGAACUAAUUACAUAUGGUAUAUGCGUCCAGUCCUCACUGAAAUUCCAUCUGAGGUGUGUUAGUAACAUUCUACUUUCAUGUAUUUUUAAAAUAAAAAGGCACUUUUUUUUCCUCUUUCUUUACAAUUGGUAAUGUUAGAUUCAGUCUCUUCCAUUGUGUUAGAAUUCGUGUCCCGCUUUAAAAGUAUUUCUCUGUCUUGUGCUGAAUUUGUUAGUUGCACUGUGUAAGUAUUAGUGAUCAAAAGAAGCUGAAUGUAUCUUUUCUGAAAAUACACGGGAAAUGCAGUGUUAAAACUACUUGUGUACACUUCCUACUUGGCUGUAAUUCCUCAUGAUGGAUAUUGUUAACUUGCUGUGCUACAAUGAACUCUGUGUGGGUGUCAAAAGUUCACUGCAGUUCACAGUGGAACUCUUGAUUUUGACUGUGAAGUUUUUCCUGGUGUUUU